CGCCCGCGCACGCGCUAACGGCCGUCAUUAAUUACUAUCGCUGUUUGUUUGCGAGAGAAAAUGAGCGUUUUUACACUUUAAGUUUAUAUUUUCACUCUGUCUGUGCUGCUCUGCUGCUGGGCUGAAGGUGUACAGGUAAUUGCUAGCAGCUGCACGGCUGGGGAAACGAGCCCUAAAGGAGCUGUUCGACGCUUCCCCUCUCCGCCGCUGCCCCCGCGCUCUUCCACGCCACCGCCGCCGCAUCCCUGAUCCCUCAGAUCCUGCAGACCGCUCAGAUGUUGCCCCUGAUGCUGAAACGAGCCGAAGCCACCGCUGACAAGCACCCAGCAGGCCUGGGGUUUGUCCUGGUUCUGCUAAUGGCUCCAGACUGAUGAAACCGGGACCCGACGUCUGUGACCCCCGGGGUGCUGAGGGUCGGCGGGAGGAAGUGCAGAGCAGCGGGGGGAAGUGGGAGCACCUGUGCAGGAGAAGAAGAAGAAGAAGAUGUUGCCGUACAGGGAGACGGAUGUUUCCACUCAUAAUAGUGAGUUUUCAUCAGCACAGAGAAGGCAGAAGGGCAGCAGUCCGGACAUCACGUUGUUUUACCAACACUGAGGUG